CUCGGCUUGACCAUAUGAGGUGGAAAGUCUAUUUAAAAAAAGAAAAAGAAAAAUGGGCACUUAUUUCAACUGGGUUUUGAAAUUCAAAAUUUAAAAUUGUUUGAUACCCAGCUCAAAAUGCUUACGUGGUUCACCCCAAAUUAAUAACCCUUUUCAAAUCACAAACGGGUAGUCACUGCCCUAAUUUGAUUUCCUCAACUUUGCAGCGCCGAGUGUCAUGCGGUUCCAGCUCCUCGAUAGAGACACCGUCGAAGACCAUGGAAUCCACGUUGCCGACAUGCUUGCUCUUCCAUUUCUAAGACAUUCGGCCGCUUGUCAUUGACUCGUAGUUGCUACCGCCCAUCUUCUCGGACCAAAUCUAGAGAAAACUUAGGUAUAUAUGUAUAUAUAUUAAGUGAGAAUCAACUACAUGAAGUGCCAAAGAUCUGUUGGGUUGGUUCACAGUUGUAAGAUGGGAAAACUUCGCCUUGUUGGAUAUUAUUUAUGAAAGUGGGUUCGAGCUUUCACGUGCUUGCUACUUGUGUGUGAGUACACAACGACAAGCUUUACCUUAUAGUGUGUGUACAUAUUCGGUCGUUAUUUAUUUUGAUAGCACUCUUUCGUUGAUUUUUUUUUUUUUUUUGUGAAUUUGGUCUCAAGAUUUAAGCUGGUUUUAACACAAGUUUCAUUGUAGUGAAUGGUUCUUCCAAGUAUAAUUCUUGCAUAGUUGCUAAGACUCGGAAGGUCGAAGAUUCUACUACAAACUGGGAAUUUUCUAUUGUAUUUAUGAUUAGUUCAUGUUUAGGAAUUGUAGGAGAUUUUGGAAAAAAAUGAAAUUUUCAAAAUAUGGAGGCCAAAAAUAGGUGGAAAAUCAAUUACGAAAAGAAUUACUGCUAUUGGUUUUGUUUCUUGUUAUGACAAAAAAUUGAAAUCUGGUUAUUAUUGUUUUAUUGACCAACUUCAGUUGAGCUAAUUUUGUACAUGUGUUUAGAUGAAUACGGAUUUGUUUCAUGCUUGCUUUACUUUUGCAGAUGAAUAAGUAGCAUUAUUGGUAAACAAUAAUGCUACUUAACCAUGUGAAAUCUGUUCAUGGUUUUUUCAUUUGUUUAUAUAUAUGUGGUGCUUAUGAUUUUGUUUGGUGUUCGAUUCACAGCUUAAAAUGAAAGGAAAGAAUUAUGGAGUUUGUCAUAGCUGUAGACUAAAGGGUCAUUUUUUCAUGGAAUGCCCGAACAAAUGACCCUGCCAUGGUGUAAACAUGUCUUUUUGAAGUGCUUCAAGGUGGAGAAGAACACCGACAACAAAGGUAAACUAUUCAAUACGUGCAGCAUGAAAUGUGGUUAUUGAGAGUGGGUGAAAGAGGAGGAAACGGGUUUUGAAUCAAGCUCAGUCACCAGGACACCAGAUUUGUCUUGCAUUUUCGAAACACGAUGCCAGUUAACUGAUGAACAAGACAUGGAGAUUGCUAUGAAUGUGACUAUACACAAAGGAAGAGAGCACGUCACUAAAUGGGAUAAGAAUGGAAAUUCAUCUGCCUGAGCUAAAGCAUUGUCAUUCGACUGGGAUUGUAAUUUGAAUUAUUUAAAUAUAAGGAUUUGUAAACUUGAUCUCAGGUAUUAUGGAUGCUAGGAUGUUAGAAUUAUGUGUGUAUGUGUAUGUUUAAUUAGAUGGAAUUUUUGGUAAAGCCUUUGAAUUUACUGGGAAUGGUUUGAUGAUUUAGUUGAUGGGUUUUUGGGAUACCCGUUAGUGAUACAAGAUUUCCCUUUCCAUCUAGAAAAAUUUAUAUAUUUACCAUCUUUGGCUAUUCAAUUUG
rnacentral:lncRNA from 1 species